rnacentral:rRNA from 1 species
AUGUUCACAUGAUUAAAGGUAUUCCGGUAGACGAUGGGGAUGCGUUCCAUUAGAUAGUAGGCGGGGUAACGGCCCACCUAGUCUUCGAUGGAUAGGGGUUCUGAGAGGAAGGUCCCCCACAUUGGAACUGAGACACGGUCCAAACUCCUACGGGAGGCAGCAGUGAGGAAUAUUGGUCAAUGGGCGAGAGCCUGAACCAGCCAAGUAGCGUGAAGGAUGACUGCCCUAUGGGUUGUAAACUUCUUUUAUAAAGGAAUAAAGUCGGGUAUGGAUACCCGUUUGCAUGUACUUUAUGAAUAAGGAUCGGCUAACUCCGUGCCAGCAGCCGCGGUAAUACGGAGGAUCCGAGCGUUAUCCGGAUUUAUUGGGUUUAAAGGGAGCGUAGAUGGAUGUUUAAGUCAGUUGUGAAAGUUUGCGGCUCAACCGUAAAAUUGCAGUUGAUACUGGAUAUCUUGAGUGCAGUUGAGGCAGGCGGAAUUCGUGGUGUAGCGGUGAAAUGCUUAGAUAUCACGAAGAACUCCGAUUGCGAAGGCAGCCUGCUAAGCUGCAACUGACAUUGAGGCUCGAAAGUGUGGGUAUCAAACAGGAUUAGAUACCCUGGUAGUCCACACGGUAAACGAUGAAUACUCGCUGUUUGCGAUAUACAGCAAGCGGCCAAGCGAAAGCGUUAAGUAUUCCACCUGGGGAGUACGCCGGCAACGGUGAAACUCAAAGGAAUUGACGGGGGCCCGCACAAGCGGAGGAACAUGUGGUUUAAUUCGAUGAUACGCGAGGAACCUUACCCGGGCUUAAAUUGCAGAUGAAUUACGGUGAAAGCCGUAAGCCGCAAGGCAUCUGUGAAGGUGCUGCAUGGUUGUCGUCAGCUCGUGCCGUGAGGUGUCGGCUUAAGUGCCAUAACGAGCGCAACCCUUGUUGUCAGUUACUAACAGGUUCCGCUGAGGACUCUGACAAGACUGCCAUCGUAAGAUGUGAGGAAGGUGGGGAUGACGUCAAAUCAGCACGGCCCUUACGUCCGGGGCUACACACGUGUUACAAUGGGGGGUACAGAGGGCCGCUACCACGCGAGUGGAUGCCAAUCCCAAAAACCUCUCUCAGUUCGGACUGGAGUCUGCAACCCGACUCCACGAAGCUGGAUUCGCUAGUAAUCGCGCAUCAGCCACGGCGCGGUGAAUACGUUCCCGGGCCUUGUACACACCGCCCGUCAAGCCAUGGGAGCCGGGGGUACCUGAAGUGCGUAACCGCGAGGAGCGCCCUAGGGUAAAACUGGUGACUGGGGCUAAGUCGUAACAAGGUAGCCGUACCGGAAGGUGCGGCUG